UCCCGCCAAAUUGUAGCUCUUUCGAGCGAGGACGUGCUGACUGAAACACUGCACAGAGACGGGCAAGCACUCAGAGGCAUUUCGUUUGCCUUGAUCCUGGAGGCGGCCUUCUCCCAUUGCCGAGGAUUUGAAGCGAACUCCUGGCAGAUCAGAAAUGUUCAGGCGAACGGCGGUUAUAUUUGUCUGUGGACCCAAGACUUCGUUGACGGGCAAAUAUGUCAGAUUUUCUUGUUUUUUAUUUGUGGCAUCUUAUUGUAAAGCCGUGACAUAUUUUGCCGUUUUCUCUAGGGAACCCUGCAACAAGGACUGUAGUGUGAAUAGCGUGCUGCGCUGCUCUCGCCAACUGAAAAGAACUCUGGUGUGCUGUAAAUGCCGACUGCACAAUAUGUGACUGGCCCGCGGCUGCUUUGAAGGUAAGAUUGUGUUCUCAUUAAUCUAUUUAUUGUACCAUUUGUUUUCCAGUGACAUAGCCAACAACGAAAACCUCGAUCCAUCCUCUCUCCACAUAUUAUCUAGUUUGUGCGCUGUGGAGCUUGAAGCACUUCUCGGAAUUUCAGCACACUCGCAUUUAUUUUUUUCCCGACAGAAGAAAA